rnacentral:rRNA from 1 species
AACGAACGCUGGCGGCAGGCCUAACACAUGCAAGUCGAGCGGACCCUUCGGGGUUAGCGGCGGACGGGUGAGUAACGCGUGGGAAUAUGCCCUUCUCUACGGAAUAGUCCUGGGAAACUGGGGGUAAUACCGUAUACGCCCUUUGGGGGAAAGAUUUAUCGGGGAAGGAUUAGCCCGCGUUGGAUUAGGUAGUUGGUGGGGUAAUGGCCUACCAAGCCGACGAUCCAUAGCUGGUUUGAGAGGAUGAUCAGCCACACUGGGACUGUGACACGGCCCAGACUCCUACGGGAGGCAGCAGUGGGGAAUCUUAGACAAUGGGGGCAACCCUGAUCUAGCCAUGCCGCGUGAGUGAUGAAGGCCUUAGGGUUGUAAAGCUCUUUCAGCUGGGAAGAUAAUGACGGUACCAGCAGAAGAAGCCCCGGCUAACUCCGUG